GUCUAGUCAACCCAGGCAGCUGCAAUGAGACAAGAGAAAGGUAACCGCUACAACCUGAAUAUAGGAUUCAGGAAGUGAAGGGCUUCAUCCAUCUAAUUCCCUGUUGUAUCCUCGGAGUCUGAAGCACGGAAUUGAAUAUUUGUUGACUAAUUCUCUAACUGAAUGCAAAGCAUGAUGAAAUAAAUUAUGGUACAUGUA